rnacentral:rRNA from 1 species
UAGGGAAUCUUCCGCAAUGGGCGAAAGCCUGACGGAGCAACGCCGCGUGAGUGAUGAAGGUCUUCGGAUCGUAAAACUCUGUUACCAGGGAAGAACAAACGUGUAAGUAACUAUGCACGUCUUGACGGUACCUAAUCAGAAAGCCCCGGCUAACUACGUGCCAGCAGCCGCGGUAAUACGUAGGUGGCAAGCGUUAUCCGGAAUUAUUGGGCGUAAAGGGCGCGUAGGCGGUUUUUUAAGUCUGGUGUGAAAGCCCACGGCUCAACCGUGGAGGGUCAUUGGAAACUGGAAAACUUGAGUGCAGGAGAGGAAGGUGGAAUUCCAUGGGUAGCGGUGAAAUGCGCAGGGAUAUGGAGGAACACCAGUGGCGAAGGCGACUUUCUGGGCUGUAGCUGACGCUGAUGUGCGAAAGCGUGGGGAUCAAACAGG